GAGCGAGUUGACGCCGGCGACGAGGCGGGAGCUUAUUAUGGUAGGGUCCUAAAUGCUUCAACUGAUGAGCUCUAUUAUCAGUGUCGGCUGUAUAGCGAGGUACAAGGCGAACGCGAGCGGUGGCGUAGGCGGCAGGUCCAACGAGGUUCCCACAGUGCACUUUCUGGUACCCAGUGGGUUGGGGUGAAUGUGAUGGCGUCGUCUUGAUGAGAACAGGGGCUGUCAUGGGCGCGUGUCUCCACUGACAUCAGAGGCGAAAUGCUGCGUCAGCGACGUGCUUCGAGUGCAAGCACGGAACUCCUCGUUACUUGGUCUAUAUCUGUUCUGUCACUAUUGCAUAGGGAAAGAAGGUAGGAGAGAUACUCAAGAUCGUCUGAUCGGGGACCUCCUGGUAGAUACCAAUAAUCUCCCGCGGCGCACCACUUUGGUGAUUGGUGGCCGAACGUUGUGUCAACGGUGGCUGUCAGCCUCUCCGUUUGAUCUAAUGUGGUGCCGUGAUGGGGAGGAUUCUCGUUUUAUGGAGUUCCGUGCGCUGAUGCUGGUCCAAUGUUGGCGGAGCGCGAUGCAGACGCCGCAGAGGUUGAGACGUGUAAGUGAAGGCUGGCACCAGCUCGCCGACUGGUGCCUGUGGUGGCAGAUGGUUUGUUUCUUUCAUGGAAAACACGGAUGGAGAACCCGACGGGAUCAGACCAGCAUGGCGUAGGAUGCGUAGCCGUGACUGUGACAAUCCUUUGGCGCGUGGGUGGCCGGAAUUGCUGGCGAUGAGCUGAUAUUGAAUUCAUCACGUGGUGGAUUGGACGAUUGUUCCUUGUUGUUGGUCAGCUUCUAGAUGUAGGGAUGACCGAGGCGACAUGCUUAAUCGAAGCUGCGUGGUAUGCGCUCAAGCAGUUGGUUUCCCCGCCGCCUUACAAUGCACCUGACCAAAGGAUGUUGCGACGAACCAUAGGAUAAUACGAACAUUUUGUGAACAGUGGAAACGUGGUUUUGGAGCGUGAUCAGCUGCGAUACUCUGCUCAUGAUGAUGGUGUCACCAGGUGCACCCCGCUGGCGCCCGUGGCUGCGUCCCAUGAUACGUGUACAAUGGUAUGAGGGUGCGAGUUCGGACGCUGCGGGGAGGGGGUGUAUGCAGGCGGUGGCAGCAAACGCUUCGCCAGAAGUUGCGUGUUUUGCGGCGGCCGCAGCUUCUCGGGUCGAACAUGAACGCAGGUUCUGAAAGAGAUGUGAGCAGCAUGGGGCUUGACGAAUGGCGGUCAUUUUGA
rnacentral:lncRNA from 1 species